GCGGACUGGGUGGCUUACAACAACACAGCUAUUUCUUGCCGUUCUGCAGGCUGGAGCUCUGAGGCCACCGUGCAGCGCGGUCGGUGAGGCCUCGUUCCUGGGUCACGGACGUCUCGUUGUGUCCUCACACGCUGGAAGCAGCGAGGGAGCUCUCUGGCGUGGCCUUGUAAGGGCACUGACCCCAUUCAUGAGGAUUAACGGCGAAUCACCUCCCGAAGGCCCUUCUUCCUAACACCAUCACCGUGGGUCUUAGGUUUUCAACACGUGGAUUUUGGGGGACACAGACAUUCAGACUUUCGCAAACCUCAUCCUCCAUGGCUGUGUUCCCAACGAAUGGAGGUUCAGCUAAAGGCUGGACUUUAGGGGCAGGGUCAACUGUUUCGGCAAGAAUUCUUCAUAGACGGAAAAGAUUUUUUUUAACUCAUCACCGUCAUGUGUGUCUUUCCAGAGCCUGACGAGCUGCUUCCAUUUACCUGUGGAACAAGCCCCGUCUCCUCCAUUGGGCCGUCGGGGGAUACUCAGCCGUCCCCACCCUCAGGCUCUUCAGCAGAGCUGCAGCGCACGCCCUCGUGUGCACACGCGGAAAAGGGUCUCGAGGGGUUUUGCCCAGCACCGGAGCAGGCACACGUGAUUCCACCAGCGUUGCUGGGCUAGUGGCUUGGCACGAACGAUUCAUGCGAGCUUGGUUCUUUAUUGCGUGCACCAGAUCUGCAGUGGAGCGUAACCAGUGACACAGUGGACGUCUUAGCCAUAAUCCAUUGGGAGUGAAAGUGUAAGGCAGAAAUCGAACUGAACGAUGGAGCGUCUGAAAACUGAAGAGAAACCACCCGUCGGGCAUACUCAUGGAUGGCAGCAACAGGACCACACCUGACACUGUCCUCGGUGUGUAAUAUGGCUCAGAAAGGAAUGGAAUUCUUUGGUUCUUCUGGCUAAGUUCAAACCUUUGCCAAGAACUGCACCGUGGAGAGAGCCAGACUGGCUGGAGCCGUCCGCCUCUGGACACUCAUCUGUGCCAUCACCUUGGUGUGGGGCCUCAGUUGUCUCUGCAGAAUGCGGGUCAUCGUGCCUCCCUGCAAGGUUGUUAAGAGUCAGUGAGGGGCUCAACACAUGAUGACUCUCCUAUUUCCUUUCUCUUCCUGGAUGGGGCUGGUAUCCACCUCCCUCAUUUGAAGGGGUCUCUUCAUGCCCUACUCCUCUGCUGUCUUUUCCUUCAUACCAAAAUACCUCUAUCCAGUUUUAAUAAAAAAACUUUCCUUUCAUCUAAUGUGUGUCCU
rnacentral:lncRNA from 1 species